rnacentral:lncRNA from 1 species
CCUCUGCUGCUUUGGAACAGAUCACCACUGCAAGAGAGGAAGCUGCUACUGUGAUGAAUUCUGCCACGAGGUGUCAGACUGCUGCCCAGACCACCGCACCCUGUGCACCCUGGAUAACUCACAUGCAGGCUCCUUCCCACCCCUGGCGGAGCCGGAUGCUGUGAUGGACAGAGGCAAGCCCCUUGCUUGUACUUCAGGCCAAGGCCAGGAUGUGGACUGGAUGCCUCCUGAGGGCCCUGAUAAUCCUGAGAUCCUCACAUUUGGUCCAUUUCGUACCAAAAGUGCCCACAUAUUCCUCCCAGCUUUGUUUCCCCACUGCUCCUGACCACCUGCUGCUCCCCUCUGAGCUCCUUUCCCAGAUCCCCACAGGGAGAGGCUAAGCUGUUGGUGGUUGGGGAUCAGGGUGGCGAGUGAGGUGGUUGGGUCACCUAACUGCCCCCGCAUCUCUUGCAACAUAGAUGCCUCUUGACCUGACCCAUGUAGACUUUUGAGGGAAGACAGGAGUCUGCAGAGAGGUGCUAGGGAUGUUACAUAGGAGGAGGGAGACUGGGAGUCAGGGAGGAGGCCAGGAGCUUUUGCUUUGUGUUUCUCAGCUUCUCAGAAUACCAAGAUGGUGCUGCAGAUGGUGCUGAGGAGGGAGACCCCCCCGAGCCCUGCAAGAAGCAACCUAGACUGGAUACAGAAUGUGG